UACGAAGGUGGCAAGCGUUACUCGGAAUUACUAGGCGUAAAGGGCAGGUAGGUGGUCUGGUUAGUCUGUUGUGAAAGCUCCUUGCUUAACGGGGAGAGGUCAACAGAUACUGCCAGGCUUGAGUAUGGGAGAGGGUACUGGAAUUCCUGGUGUAGCGGUGAAAUGCGCAGAGAUCAGGAGGAACACCGAUGGCGAAAGCAGGUACCUGGACCAUUACUGACACUCAGCUGCGAAAGCUAGGGGAGCAAACAGG
rnacentral:rRNA from 1 species